rnacentral:lncRNA from 1 species
GUUUGAGACAGGGUCUCGUCUGUCACCCAGGCUGGAGUCCAGUGGCACGAUCACAGCUCACUGCAGCCUCAACCAACCAGGCUCAAGCAAUCCUCCUACCUCAGCCUCCCGAGUAGCUGGGACUAACAGAACUUUCUUUGCUGGCUGUUGAUCAAGGACUGCCCUCAGUUUCCUGCUGCAGAAGCCUCUUUGUAAAGCAGCUAUGGCAGGAAGAGUCACCCUCAGAGCCGGCGAGAGAGAGAGGGGUCCAGCCCACACCCAAGGGAAGGAGAUUCCGCAAGGGCAUGGAUACCAGGAGGGACGAAGAAGAGGGACAAAAAGGGAAAACGAUUUGCUGUCAUUGUAUCCACAAAGUGCACAUUUUCUUUGUACGGCUGAAAUGUCUGUGCGUCUGAGAGCUUGCAAGCUUGUCUGAAAUGGUCUAAUUGCCUGAUCUCAAUCCUGGCUGGGUGCCUUGCAUCUGGCUUUUCAUGGAUUUGAAUUGGGAGGGGCCGUUGGGGGAGACUCUCCUAACUCAGGGAUAUUUUUAGGAAAUCAAAGUUUGCUUUUCUGGGUCGAUUCUAUCCUCUGUCAUCGCCACCUCCCAAGCUGCCUCCGCGGCUCUUGUCACUUGCCAUUGUCCCUGGGCUCUGGUGGGAGGCCAGUCCUGUGCUGCUGAAUUGGAAUCAGGACCAGAACAGUCCUGACUGUCCCUAUGGGACCCAGGCCGGGGGUACCCCACCCAGCCCUGUGCCAGGGGCUUUGUGUAAGUCAGCAGUUCUCAAAGUGGGGCCCUCUGAGACCCAAGGAGUUAUUUUAUUUUAUUUUUUGAGACAGAGUCUCACUCUGUCUCCUAGGCUGGAGUGCAAUGGCAUGAUCUCAGCUCACUGCAACCUCCACCUCCCGAGUUCAAGCAGUUCUCCUGCCUCAGCCUUCCAAGUAGCUGGGAUUACAGGCGUCCACCAAACACCCAGCUAAUUUUUUGUAUUUUUAGUAGAGACGGCAUUUUGCCAUGUUGGCCAGGCUGUUCUUGAACUCCUGACCUCAGGUGAUCCACCUGCCUUGUGCUCCCAAAAUGCUGGGAUUCCAGGCAUGAGCCUCCGCGCCUGGCCUCGAGGAGGUUUUCGUUCUUCUCAAUCAAAACAACAUAUCACAAUGGCCAGAAUGUAGAAGCAGACAGAAGAGUCCACUUGCUUCUUUCCACUAAGCCAGACAUUAAAGAGAUCUGCACUACUUUAUUUAUUGAGACAGAAUUUCAUUCUCUUGCCCAGACUGGAGUGCAGUGGUGUGAUCUCGGCUCACUGCAACCUCCUUCUCCUGGGUUUGAGCAAUUCUCCCGCUUCAGCCUCCCGAGUAGCUGGGAAUACAGGUGUGCACCAUGGCGCCUGGGUAAUUUUUGUAUUUUUAGGAGAGACGGGGUUUCGCCAUGUUGGCCAGGCUGGUCUUGAACUCCUGACCUCAAGUGAUCUGCCCACCUCGGCCUCCCAAAGUGUUGGGAUUACAGGUGUGAGCCGCCGUGCCUGGACUUGCACUACUUUAAAACAGCACCUUCUGACUAACAUUGUGUUGUUUUAAAAGAGGUUUUUUUUUUCAUAAAAAGAUGUGAUUUAUGUUAACAUGUAGUGGUUUAUUGUUGCUAUUUUAAGGGAG